UGAACUCCCAGCGCCCAUCCCAGGUGCCAGUAGGCCCCUAGGGUGGGCCUUGGGACCACGGCCAAGCAGAAGCCCAGGAGGAAGGGGGUCCUCCUGCCAGUUCUGCCGAGUCCUAAAUGCUUACUGCUAAUGACAGGAUUUUCCAAAAUGGAUUGUCCUGCACCUGUGGGCCUAGAAGGGAAUCCAAAAAUCCUCCAGCCCCACCUCUACCUGGGUCCUGAGAGUUCUGGGACCAGAAGUCUCCAGGCGCUGAGCUCGUCGGCGCUGGGGGUGGACGUCGCCCUGGCUGUGACCCAAGAUGCGAACAGAAGUGUUGGGGUCCGGAUCUAGAAAGAUGGGUUAGCACAGACAUCGUUUGGAUUCUAACAGACCAUGUCCUGGAAAAGACACAACGUGGCCUUUGGAAUAUUCGCCCCUCGUUAAGGAAGAGAGGGAGGCCCUGAGAUCAGGCGUCGCUGCAAGUCAGAAAUCUGGAUUCUUAGGUGAAGUCUCCGUUUUAAAAUUGGGCUCCCAGCACUUGUUGGUGUCAUUGGGUUGCCUGGGAUACUGUGUGGGACAGCUGAGGGGCACCGUCUGCCGUGGCCAGUUCCCCCGUCACCGCAAAGCCCAGCAGCAGUCAGCCUCAGACCUUCUUCCUGUCCUGAGAGGCCCUCUCACAGCUUGCCUCAGUUUCUCCCUGGGAUCAAACACGGCUGUGUUUGAAGGCGGGAAGCCAGCAGGGCUCUUGCCCUGGAGUAAUGGGAUGUCAUGAUUCUCACUGAUUUCCUUGAGGAGACCUUUCCUCAGAGGCUGCGUUGCCAGCCCCGUGCAGAGCAACCCGCGGCCCUGUAGACCCUGUUCCUUCCUUGGGGCAUCCUGCUGCGGUGAGGCCUGGCAGGAUGACUCCUGACCUCCCCCAUGGGCCCAGGAAGAGAUGAGCAAAACGAGGGCAGUCCCGAGUGUGCCCCUCCUCUCCCACCUGCAGCUGACCCGGGCCAGGCUGUGCAGGAGAGCUCGGGCGAGGAGAAGGAGCUGCACCACCAGCUUCCAUUGCAGGCGCCCUCUGCCCUCAGGGACACUUUUAAUUGUCUGCAUUUCGGUUUGUCUGUACUGGGUCCAGUUGUAGUCCCUCAGAAGUUGUAAACCUAAAAUUCACUGUCUGUAGGUGCUGGGGAGAAAAUGCUGCCCAUUCUAAAUGAAGGUUUGUUCCUGUGCCCACACUGUACGUCCAGCACGAUCACAGGAAGCACUCCGCCAGAGGAGGAGAGUCUACGAGAGCUCCCAAGUUCUCCCCAAAAUAGCUCGGGCGUCCAUGCACUACCUCUGGGCUCUGGGACUGCCCCCUUCACUUCCAUAGGCAAUGGGGAGCCCCAUGCAGACAGUGUGCGUUAACCGGGGUCCUGGGCCACAUGUUGAUGCUGACUCCCAGGCACAGAUGCUCGUGUGGACCCUGCAGGGCCGGUGGUCAGGGGCUGUGAGUGCCCAGUCCAGGAUGCGCCAGGCUUCCGGGCCACCUCACCCUGCUCCUCUCCUGCUGACCCGCCAGGAUGCACCAGGCUCCCCGGCCACCCCGCCCUGCUCCUGUCCACCCUUCUUCUGUCCCACUGCCCUGUGUCCUCUUGACCUGAGCCUCGGCUUGUCCAGCUGGGGCCGUCCAGGUGGGAGUGACUGUCUAUGACGAGAGAACGAGAGAGAACCGGGUCCACAGGACAGGAGCAGGGUG
rnacentral:lncRNA from 1 species